GUGAGGAAUUUUCCGCAAUGGGCGAAAGCCUGACGGAGCAAUGCCGCGUGAAGGAUGAAGGCCUAUGGGUUGUAAACUUCUUUUCUCAGAAAAGAAUUAUGACGGUAUCUGAGGAAUAAGCAUCGGCUAACUCUGUGCCAGCAGCCGCGGUAAGACAGAGGAUGCAAGCGUUAUCAGGAAUGAUUGGGCGUAAAGCGUCUGUAGGUUGUUUAAAAAGUAUUCUGUCAAAGAUUAGGGCUUAACCCUAGAUAGGCAGAAUAAACUUUUAAGCUAGAGUUUGGUAGAGGCAGAGGGAAUUCCCGGUGGAGCGGUGAAAUGCGUAGAUAUCGGGAGGAACACCAAAGGCGAAGGCACUCUGCUGGGCCAAUACUAACACUGAGAGACGAAAGCGAGGGGAGCAAAUGGGAUUAGAAACCCGGGUAGUCC
rnacentral:rRNA from 1 species